GACGAACCGUGCAAACGUUGUUCGGAAUCACUGGGCUUAAAGGGCGCGUAGGCGGGCCAGCCAGUCUGUGGUGAAAGCCUCCAGCUUAACUGGAGAAGUGCCGUGGAUACUGCUGGCCUCGAGGAGGAUAGGGGCAUCUGGAACGGUCGGUGGAGCGGUGAAAUGCGUUGAUAUCGACCGGAACUCCGGUGGCGAAGGCGAGGUGCUGGGUCCUUUCUGACGCUGAGGCGCGAAAGCCAGGGGAGCAAACGGG
rnacentral:rRNA from 1 species